rnacentral:lncRNA from 1 species
ACCUUUGGUCCUGACAAAGUCUGUUUACUAAAGCCAUCAACACAUUCAGUGUCAAAUGGUCAAGUCAUACAUACAGCAUACGGGACUCCCCGAAUAUUUGUUCAACUCAAUCUGGGAGAAAAAUACAUUUUAAGGAUUAAAGGAUUGCUUUUAAAUAUUUAAACUGCCUAUUUCUGUAUCUUAAUACCUAAAUUGAUUUCUUACAGAACAAGCCAAAUUUUCCCAGAAAAUUACAUUGGGCAUCUUUGGAAGAACAUUAAAACUUUGAGGUAGCCCUGGUCCUGUUGCUCAAAUUACUGCUCCAGUGCACCAAACGGUGACCUGUUCAGUAGCUCAGAGUAUGCAAAAAACAGAAAAUCUACAAGUUUUGGACAAAAUUCCUCCCAAACACCUCACCUGGGAUCACUAGAGUCUGCAAAAGUCGUAUGCUAUGCUGAUGUGGAAGCUAUGAAUAAUGAGGAUCAACUACUUAUGGAACACACAGAGCUUGCGUGCCUACCAUUUCUCCAAUUGGCAUCAUCUCUACCACAUAAAUAAACCAAAUUUCCAUAGUGCAUGUUGCCUCACCUUUCAUUCUUGUUAGUACAAUGCCUG